rnacentral:rRNA from 1 species
UCGAGCGGUAGCACAGAGAAGCUUGCUUCUUGGGUGACGAGCGGCGGACGGGUGAGUAAUGCAUAGGAAUCUGCCCGAUAGUGGGGGAUAACCUGGGGAAACCCAGGCUAAUACCGCAUACGUCCUACGGGAGAAAGGGGGCUCCGGCUCCCGCUAUUGGAUGAGCCUAUGUCGGAUUAGCUAGUUGGUGAGGUAAAGGCUCACCAAGGCAACGAUCCGUAGCUGGUCUGAGAGGAUGAUCAGCCACAUCGGGACUGAGACACGGCCCGAACUCCUACGGGAGGCAGCAGUNGGGAAUAUUGGACAAUGGGCGCAAGCCUGAUCCAGCCAUGCCGCGUGUGUGAAGAAGGCCCUCGGGUUGUAAAGCACUUUCAGCGAGGAAGAACGCCUAGCGGUUAAUACCCGCUAGGAAAGACAUCACUCGCAGAAGAAGCACCGGCUAACUCCGUGCCAGCAGCCGCGGUAAUACGGAGGGUGCAAGCGUUAAUCGGAAUUACUGGGCGUAAAGCGCGCGUAGGUGGCUUGAUAAGCCGGUUGUGAAAGCCCCGGGCUCAACCUGGGAACGGCAUCCGGAACUGUCAAGCUAGAGUGCAGGAGAGGAAGGUAGAAUUCCCGGUGUAGCGGUGAAAUGCGUAGAGAUCGGGAGGAAUACCAGUGGCGAAGGCGGCCUUCUGGACUGACACUGACACUGAGGUGCGAAAGCGUGGGUAGCAAACAGGAUUAGAUACCCUGGUAGUCCACGCCGUAAACGAUGUCGACCAGCCGUUGGGUGCCUAGCGCACUUUGUGGCGAAGUUAACGCGAUAAGUCGACCGCCUGGGGAGUACGGCCGCAAGGUUAAAACUCAAAUGAAUUGACGGGGGCCCGCACAAGCGGUGGAGCAUGUGGUUUAAUUCGAUGCAACGCGAAGAACCUUACCUACUCUUGACAUCCUGCGAACUUGUGAGAGAUCACUUGGUGCCUUCGGGAACGCANAGACAGGUGCUGCAUGGCUGUCGUCAGCUCGUGUUGUGAAAUGUUGGGUUAAGUCCCGUAACGAGCGCA